CUAUACUAUAGGUGGACCGCAAUGUCAAAAUUGCUGUUCGGCCAUUGCUCGUGAAAAAACAAAUUUGUUUACAAAACAUAUCAUAUCUUUUGGUGACAAAUGCAUUCGUCGGCAAAAUAGCUGCUCGCGCUUUACUGUAGAUAUCUACAAUCAGCGGUCGAAUUAAAAACAGUGCAGAAGGAUGUUUUGAGUAUGUUUUAGCUUCUAGCCGCGCAAUCAAUGCUUUUUUUCCAAGCAAGAUGUACUUCUGUUUGGAUCCUAUCGGCGGGGAAAAAAGUACUUACGGCGACGGUGACAAGAAAUAGCGCUGAUUGCGAGAUUACCAGAUCCAGAAGAUCCGGAAGGGCUGUUACAAGUAAUUGGUUUUGCUAGAGCAAAAGGAGGUUGACAAUGAUUGCAACAGAAGAUCCGGAAAGAGUUGUUGAAAGUAAUUGGCCACAGAAAAGUAUCCAUUUAUGAAGUCUAUCUCCAUCUCGGGGGAAAGUGUGGUAAACAAUGUCCGGGUUGUUUUUCGUUAUGCGGACCUUGUUUCCGCAUCCUUUUACUGCACAAUAAUACGGCAUCUGAAGAAAAUAAGAUAUUCACAAUAUAAUUUUGGCAUGAUAGAGAACCGCGAGAUGAACGAUUAUCUGUGGAGGAGUUGGACAACAGAUUUCUUAGACUUAUAGCACUUUAAUCACACUCACAAGCUCUUCAACUCCUCACUGUCCCCCAAAACUAUUGAAUAAUAUGUAAUAUAAAUACCUUAUUGCAGCUCUAGUACACUAUUUUUCACGAAUAUAUAUUUGCUUAUUUCUUUCUUCAGUUGUUUUCCUCAGCGAGUUGAUAUGAAACCAUAACGACACAACCAAACAAAAAGUAAACAAUGCAGAAAGCUACGUCUCGCAACUCGUCUCACGUAUUGUCAUGAAAGUGUCAAGAACGA